ensembl:lncRNA
AUUUUAUUCUUAAUUAUGUAGCUGUUAGGCUGUGAUUUGACAGUGAGGCACAAAGCUUCGUCUACUGCGAUCACAGAUUAUGGCAGUCACAACAGUUUAAAUUUCUGUUGUUCUAAUUAAUGAUAUUAUAAUUUUCUAGUUAACCCAUAGGCUUGGUAAUUCAUCUUCACUGUUGCUUUUAAGUGUUUUAAAAAACAAGAAUGCAGUCAGGAGUCCAGCACUCAAUGUUAUAAACCAGUAUGCUGCUAGGAGGAGUAAUUUUUUUAAGGUGCUUUCUGGAAGCUGCCCAUCUCUGGUGCUUUUUGCAGUGCUGCCUCCAACAUUGUGCUCAGCUCUGGGGAGCUGGGUAACCCUUGGCAUAGGCAAAUAGUUCACCUGUGUACUGUCAAGAGCUUACUCCUAUCAACCUAGAACCAAACUCCUUGCCUUCCUGGAAAAUAAAAAGAAGGGGAAAUUUCAGAACAGAGCAGUUUACUCAGAUGAAAUCAAUAUGAGCAUUUCUUCCUUGGGAAACUGCUGUUGUUAAAAAAUUCAGGAAAUAGUCUGCCUUUUGCUGAAAAAGCCAUUUUAAUCUGUAUUUAGGACAGAAGUUAAUUUUUAAUUUAUAGGAGCAUACUGAGCUCAACAAAAUUUUUUUGUUUUUCAUCUAAAUCUCUCUGCUCAUAUCUGGCUAUGACACAUAGCUUUUCUUGUUAGUGUUGUGUGUUUUACAUCUAUAGAAAUGCCCUUCAACAAGAAGGACCCUGCUUUGCUUAUGAAUACUCGGAUUCAUUCCUGGCAUGAAUUGUCUCUCCAGAAUAAAGCAGGAGAUGCAUUACCUGAAUACUUCUGCAGCGUUUGGCAACCUCCAGAGGUGCAAUGCUGCAUUUUUCCUGUGGUAUUCAAUGGCUGCUGGAGUGGUCUCCUCCCGUGGCUGUUAACAAUAGAUAUUCAUACAUUGUCAUACAGGUUCCCCAUGUUUCAGCAGAACUGUCAUUAUUCAGCACAGCAGAGAGAUGCUCGAUAUUUCCAUUUCUUUCUUACACACUCAAGUAAUCUCAAGCUUUGUGU